rnacentral:lncRNA from 1 species
GUUCUUACGCACAGCCUCUUCCGGUCGUGGGGCCGAGCGGUUCCGGUGAAAAUGUCGAUUCCGAUUGGACUCUCGAUGAUUUAAAGGCAUCUGGCGUUUCUGAGGCAGUUUCGCUCCGUCACCCAGGCUGAAGUGCAAUGACGCGAUCUCGGCUAACCACUCUCCGCCUCCCGGGUUCAAACGAUUCUCCUGCCUUAGCCUCCCAAGUAGCUGGGAUCACAGGUGCCCGCCACCACGCCCAGCUAAUUUUUUGUUGUUGUUGUUUUGUAUUUUUAGUAGAGACACAGUUUAGCCAUGUUGGCCAGCCUGGUCUCAAACUCCUGACCUCAGGUGAUCCACCCGCCUCGGCCUCCCGAAGUGGUAGGAUUACAGGCGUGAGCCACCGCGCCCUGCCGAGGCUAAAGGUUUCUAACCUUUAGGAUGUCUUGGAGCUUCAAUGAGUCUCCUGAUCCUCCCACCUCAGCCUCUGAAGUAGCUGGGACUACAAGCACGGGCCACCACACCUGGCUUUUUUUUUUUUUUUUUAAGAGACCGGGGUGGUAGGGGGUGCGGGGGUGGGGGGUGUCUUACUAUUUUGCCUAGGCUGGUCUCAAACUCCUGGGCUCAACCGAUCCUACCACCUCGGCCUCCCCAAAGUGCCCCUUUUCCUCUUCUCCCCAAAACACAAUGCUGUUGGGAUUCUGAUUGAAAUUACAUUAUUUAUUAUAUUUGUCAUUUUAAAAAAUUUGUGAUGUAACUCCUAUGCCAUAAAUUUACCCUUUUUAAAGAGUAAAUUUAAGUGCACAAUUCAGUGUUUUUUAGUGUGUCCACAAGAUUGUGCCACAAUCAUCAUUAUCUAAUUCCAGAUUAUUUUCAUCACCCCAAAAAGAAACCCCUCACCUGUUAACAGUCACUUCACAUUUCUCUUGCCCCGCAAGACAUGGGCUACCACUAAUCUACUGUUUCUCUGGAUUUACCUAUUUUACACAUUUUAUAUAAAUGGAAUUAUACAAUGUGUGACCUUUUGUAUCUGGCUUCUUUCACUUACAGUGUUUUCAAAGUUUAUUCAUGUUGUAGCAUAUGUCAGAACUUCAUUUUUUUAUCACUGAAUAAACUUCAUUCUUUUUUAUCACUGAAUUUCUUUUCCAUUGGAUGUAUAGACCACAAUUUAUCCAUUCAUCCAUUGAUUAACAUUUGAGUUGUUUCCACCUCUUGGGUAUUGUAAGUAGUGCUGCUGUGAACAUUCACAAGUAUUUAAGUAUCUGUUUUUAAUUCUUUAGGGUUUACAUGUAGAAGCAGAAUUGCUAGGUCAUAUGGACAUCUUGUUUAACUUUUGUGGAACUGCCAAACCAACUGGCUACACUAUUUUACAUGCCCACCAGCAAUGUACCAGGGUUCCUAUUACUCCACAUCAUCCC